rnacentral:misc_RNA from 1 species
GCACCUUAAAGGAAACAAGAAUAUCCCAUAAUCAUCGGAUUCAUUUAUAUUUUCUACAAAUUUCUAUUGGACUAAAAUGCAAAGAAAGGUUCCUGCAAAAAUAUCUCAACUAACACACUAUUAAGACUACGCUGAUUAAUCCAUAGAAUAGAAGACCGAAGUUCUUCAGCCUUACAACGUGAGUAGGCACCUUAAAGGAAACAAGAAUAUCCCAUAAUCGAUCAUCGGAUUCAUCACUCGCACAGCCCUCUGAUCACCAAACACUUGCAAAGCAAAAUGAUGUUCCUUGCCAAAUUAAGAUGCUCUGGAUCUGCAAUGAUUGUUCUUCUACUCAAAUCCAAAUCCAAGUCCUAGGUCUAGAUUCUAUAAUAGCCAAAAAUACUUAGCAACUGAAGAACCUGCUGGUUACACCACACAGUCUUGGAUGGAUCCAGUUAGCACUUGGAACGC